AAAGCAGAGGGCUGGGAUUCAGUCGGGACGGCCCCUUAAAGACCCAGACGGGGGACGCCUCUGAUUUCAGCAGCUCACUCCGAUGAGUUAUUGAUUGCAGGCAGCAACAAUCCCUCCGGAUGAUUUGUGUGGAAAGUGAAUCCGCAACUGGCUGGGCGUUCAGAGAGGCGCAACAGCCCAACGCCAUUCAAUUAUUGCCGGUCCUCCCCUCAACACUGCUCUCACCACCUCCACACUCCUUUCUCCACACCGCUCCGCUUCCCCUCACCCACUUUGCUCCGCGCGGACAGAGCUGAGGGGGCGGGGGCUCCCUCAUGGGAGCGUUUCUAGAGCUCCGAGGCAGCUAGUAGGGGGGCACCACUUUCAGAUAAAAACAUAGACCUGAAUGGCAUCAUCCAGUAUCCAAGGAAACCAUGAACAAUAACUCUGCUCUGAGAUUCCAGCUAUGGUGGUACAGCCUGGGGAAUAUAAAA